AGUGCUAAUGCAGACAUGCAUGCAGUUAGGCUGAGCAGUUAAUUAGUUUGUAACACCAGUCCUGAUGAAGCAACUAGAGGCCCAGAUAAACUCCAAAAGUAUCCUGUGAUUCCUGCCGUCGACAUCGUCCGGCGGCCGCUGCAUAAAAACAACGUGGUACACUACACAAUACAAGUAUGCGGCCGCAACUAGGUUGACCAUGUCUCUAACCACUUUGCAUGCACACAGUGUCUGUCACACACAUGAUCAUUGGCCGACUUCGAGCUGACUGCGCUGGUGGACACGCCACGAGUCAACCCUGCUGCUUUGGCACUUUGGCAGGGAUCGAUGGAGCGGUCGUUGGUCGCCGCGUGCAUGGAUGCAACGCCAACGACGAACACAGAGUGGGAGAUCGAGCGCCGAGCGACGACGCAAACAAA
rnacentral:lncRNA from 1 species